GCAGUCGAGCGAGCUGAAUUCAAAGAUCCCUUCGGGGUGAUUUGUUGGAUGCUAGCGGCGGAUGGGUGAGUAACACGUGGGCAAUCUGCCCUAAAGACUGGGAUACCACUUGGAAACAGGUGCUAAUACCGGAUAACAACAUGAAUCGCAUGAUUCAAGUUUGAAAGGCGGCGCAAGCUGUCACUUUAGGAUGAGCCCGCGGCGCAUUAGCUAGUUGGUGGGGUAAAGGCCUACCAAGGCAAUGAUGCGUAGCCGAGUUGAGAGACUGAUCGGCCACAUUGGGACUGAGACACGGCCCAAACUCCUACGGGAGGCAGCAGUAGGGAAUCUUCCACAAUGGACGCAAGUCUGAUGGAGCAACGCCGCGUGAGUGAAGAAGGUUUUCGGAUCGUAAAGCUCUGUUGUUGGUGAAGAAGGAUAGAGGCAGUAACUGGUCUUUAUUUGACGGUAAUCAACCAGAAAGUCACGGCUAACUACGUGCCAGCAGCCGCGGUAAUACGUAGGUGGCAAGCGUUGUCCGGAUUUAUUGGGCGUAAAGCGAGCGCAGGCGGAAUGAUAAGUCUGAUGUGAAAGCCCACGGCUCAACCGUGGAACUGCAUCGGAGACUGUCAUUCUUGAGUGCAGAAGAGGAGAGUGGAACUCCAUGUGUAGCGGU
rnacentral:rRNA from 1 species